UUCUCAACAAAGUUGCAAAACUAUGUUUGAUAUGUAACAGUUCCAAACGGAGGUGAGACUUCACAUAACUGAAUGAUCCUUCAUACAAUCAAAUGAACAAACAAAUAAAUCCAGACUCAUAGAAAAGUAGAUGUCAAAGGAAAGUGUAGGCGAAAACCUUUUAUUUUUCUGUGUGCAGGAGUUGUUUUUUAAUGGAGGAACAUUCAAUCAUGUGAGCCCACCUGCAAGUCUGAACUUGUACAACACAAAGCUUUACUAGCUUGUCAUUUUAAAAGGUGUUUAUCCACACGCUGGACACUCACAUUUACUUCCAGGAUUCUCUGAAAACAUAUAAUGGAGAACCCAGGAACUUCCAUACUAUAUUCUGACGGGAUGCAAGAAAGGCAAAGAAAAGAAAAAGAUAAGUAAAUUGUGCAAAUUACCCAUUUUCAGGAGCCAUAGGACUGCAAUUAGAAGUGGCAUUCAGAUUGCACAGCGUGGGCAUUUAGCAAGAACUUGGAGUUUUGAGCUAAAGCAGGCUGGAUGUCAAUUUGUGAUUGCAGCUAAACCUGAUCAUUCCACACAGAGAGACACAUGCCAUCUAUAUAAAGCUCUUUUCUGUAUUUGGUGUAUUCAUGCUUAUAUAUUUCAUUCUAGCAGCUAGACUUUUAAAAUGACUUUUUCAGGUAGCUGCACUCAUACUCUGCAGUUGGUACAUAAUUGCCAGGAGGAUCUGGAGGAAGGAAAAUACUGCUGAGUUAUGCAAGUGCACACCUAUGACUGUGUUUUAAGAGACAAUGUAUGACUUGCUUGUUCUGAGUUUUCCUGGAUUUUUAAGUGCCCGACAGAAUGAUGUUCUGUGAUGUUUGUUUAUAUCCAUUACCAUACUGCUGAAAGCUGAUUUUGUGCAGCUUUUAGAGCUGUUUUGUGCUUUGCUUUUAUUUAACACUUUGAGAAUUAUUGCACUAAGGGGCAUAAGAGUCUAGACAGAUGGAGAUGGUUGUAUUUUGUUGCGGGAAUAUGACACACAGUUCCCAUUGCUCUAUGGUCCACAUUACUCCCUUCCUGGAAGUACCAAAAGAGGUACUUUUGAAUUGUGCUUGCUCUCUCCUGUUAAAAAGAAUACCACUACCAACAACUAUUCUAUUCUUUUCUUCAGAAGCCCCUACAGUGAUGAACCCCAGGACCUCUGGGAGGAAGUCCAUUCAAAGAUAGGAAGGACAGGAGAAGGUGCUACCACUGAGAGACCUCUCAAAUACUUGGAAAAUCUCUCCAAAUUGUCUCCUGACCUGACCAGUGGGAGAAUCAACACAGGAAACUAAAAUGAAAGCUGGGCAUCUUAAAGAACAAACUGCAUGCUCAGAAAAGCAUUCAGAACCCUUGAAGGGAAUGUUUUGUUAAUCAAGGAGAUCAAUGUUGGCAUGGGAUACAUGGCCAUUGCUUAUCUUCAGGACCUUCCUUCUUGUUUCAGACUUAGGAAUCAGAAGACUCAGAGCAGGAAGACUCGCCUGCUAGUGAGCCACAGCAGCAAGAUUCGGCAGAGAAACCAGACUCGGAACCUGAGGAUUCUCAACAGCUGCCAGACUUGAAUUCUGAUGUGGAAGAGCCUGGGAUUCCACCUAUAGUGAGACGAAGUAUCAAGAGGCAGGCUCAGAGGGACUCACGCAGGUGCAGGAGAUAACAGGGAAGAAAGCCUUUUGACUCAGGGAAGGCUGAUUGGUUCCUGGUUCUGUUGAGUCAUAUAUAUUCAACAGUCUCUCAUGGCUGAGUUGCUGUUUGCAACUUCGCUGGCAGCAGAUACUGUGCUCUUGGAAUUAUAUCUUUUCUGUGAUCCAGUUUGUCUUGUCUGUACUUCCCUGUAUUGUUCCCUUAAUUCCUUGUUCUGUGUCCUUCACUUAUUUCAUUCCUUGUUUUGUCUUUUCUUCCACUUAUUACUCAGUUAUUGUUAGAGCGGGGUACCUAGUUUCAGUUCAGGGGACUUUAUUCAUUUAAUGUUUUCUUUGCGAGCCUUUUAUUUUCCUUCAUCCAUUUUCGUUACUGCUUUCUGUUUACUCUCUCACUGGGGGUUGUAAAUCCUGUAGAGAUAGCCGGGCUAGCAGUUCAUGCUUUCAUGACAAUUUUACUGUGCUUUUUGUUAACACUAUUCAGCCUCAUUUAAGAUUUCUUUACUUCUUGAGCUGAGCUUCAGUGAGGGGGGGCCAUUUUAAAAUCUUGUCUCUGGGCCCACUCCAACCUUGCUAUGCCACUGGGCAAAGCUGGUGGAUGAUUAGGGCACCAAAGCUUGGGGGGCCUGGAUGUGGAAUGCAGAUGACUUCCAGUGUUGCCUUUUCAAGAACAUCUGGUAUUGCCCUUUUAAGAACUUCUCUUAGGUCAGGAGACUUUUUAUGUCUUUCAACAUUCUCUUCUCCAAUAUGUUUCUCCCCACUCUCCAUGGCUUACUGAUUCUUCGGGUGGCUGCUCUCUUCCCUCACCCCUAUCCAAUUCAGGGAUGGGGAUGCUCCCCUCAGUCCUCUCCCCCGGUUCUGACCCUGCCGUUUCCUGCAAUGAAGCAAUGGUCCUGAAAAAGCAGGGCAGUUCAGGGUUGAGAAGGAAAACUGAGAAAGAAACUGUUCAGAGUUGAGAAGGAAAGUUUGGCAUUCUGUGCCUGGGAUGGGGACAGGGGAUCAGAGGGGCCCCUUGGGAGGUAGGCAUGCAUGCAGGAAGGAAAGGAGGUGAGUGCUUAUUGGCUUGGGGUUGGGAUGACAGGGGUAACAGAAGAAGGUAGGGAAGAGAGGAAGAAUAAAAGGGAGAAGAAUAUUUCCAUCAGCCAUCUAAAAUGGGAAACUUUCAAAGUGGAAAGAUUUGGGAGGUGGGAGCCUAGAGACUUUGAUUGAGGAGGGAGAUGUCUCCUUCCCCUGAAAAUGGAUGCCCAGAAGCAUCCAUGUAAAUCACACUCAUGCCAUCUUCUGAUCCACAGCCCUAAUUACUUGAAAUGCUUAGUUUUAAUCUGAUGCAGUCUCAUUCACUUUAUUUAUUUGGGACUUAUUAUGGGCACUGUUAUGCACAUUUAGGCUUAGAACCCUGUAGACCAAUCCCAUGCAUGUUUACUUGAAAAGCCAUCCCACUGAGUUCAAUAAGACUUACUCCCAAGUACAGGUAUUAUUUCUCUUUGUAAGCCACUCUGAGCCAUUUUUGGAAGGGCAGUAUAGAAAUUGAAUAAAUAAAUAGCUAGCCACACUGGCUCAGGGCUUGAGGGCUGGGGAGGAGGAUGUUACUGGACUUGCACAAGUUUUCCACCUCUAUUAUAGUGGGCAACAGCCAGUAUGCAGCAAUCCUAACUAAAUUUUAUAUAUUGUCUAGUAACAAGGAGGAGCUUGCCCCCAUGUGUGCAUGCACUGCUUCUGGCUGUGGGGAAUACUCUGUGCUUCUCAGUUGGGUGUGUGUAAAUGCCAAAGUCAUACUUUACCUAAGGUGCCAAAAACUCUAAGGCUGGCCCUUGUAAUGGGUAUGAUCCAGAUCUAUUACAAUAAAUGCAAGUUUUGUAAUUCGAGUGUGAGCGGGAAAUAAUAGCCUUUAUGGUCACCACCAGCUGUAAGGUAGUCCCACUGAACAUUACAAAAAGGUCUCACUCGCCCCUGAAAUUUCUCCUGUUUUGUUCAGUUUGAAGAGUGAGUGCGCAAAUACACCAUGCAAGCCUUCCCUGGGCAUACUGAUAAGUUGCAGUUCUAUAAUGAUGUAUUAUAUUUACAAAAAAAAAGCAGGUCUUGUCAGUAGAUUACGUACAGUGCACUGGGCCCCGAAAAUCCUUAUGGCAACCUAGCUAGCCUCAAGAUGAAGAACAAGCCAAGGCAAAGGUACAAUCCAAGGCAAGGGUACUGUUCUAACUGGUGACAUGGAUGGUUAACAUUAGCAGAUUCUCUUCUGUGACUUUUAAGAUCAUGACAGGACAUAGAAGAUGAAGCAACCUUAGAAAUGUAGAGCCCAAACUUAUAGAAAGCUUUUGACAAGUGAAUGUGGCAAGUUGCUAACAUUCUUCUUUUACUAGACUUUGGAUAUGGAAAUCCAGAAAAAUCCCAUUUUAAAUGGACCACAAUUGCUUAUUAGUGCUAUUGAUGUUUCUGAAAAUGUGUACACUCUUGAGCUGAUGCAGAGUCACUUGCAUAAUAUUCCCUUUGUGUUCAGUAGAAGGCCUCAUUCAGCUGCCCUGCCUGGUCAUUUGUCACAGUAUUAUUACUACAAGUAUUACACCUGUGACAUUCUGUACUGGAAAAUACAGUUGAAUACGUUUGAGUUUUGUUCUGUAUACUGUGAUUUAAAGUCAGCUCUCACUGCUAAACAAAUACACCAUAACUCAUAAUGUAGUCGAAGGUGAGAACAAAGAACACCACCUCUGGAGACAGAAAAAAAAAAGUACCUCUGCUAAGGCUUUUUGAAUGCUGAAAUUGCCUCAAUAAGUACAACAAAUGAAUUGGUAUAUAAAGUGCUGCAUAAACCACAGCACACCACAUUCUCUCUGAAUGUGUUUAUUUGAAGUUCCGUAUCUUUAAGUGCUACAUUCAUUUUCCACAGUGCAAUUUAGAAGCACAAUUCUCCUCAGUAGACCUAUCCAAUUACUCUACUUCUCUCUCGGGUCUUAAUUUCUAUUUAGGCAAGAAAUAAAGUAAUGACUUCAUUGCAACUAUAUGUGCAAGUGUGUGAGACUAGAAGUUUUAAUAGGUGCAAAAAAUUAGCAGACUAUUUAAUUUACUGUAAAACAGCAGCAAAGGCUACAACCACAUGCAAAAGAGACACCUCAGCUGCAUACGUUGGAGAAUCACAAAUAAAGUACAGGUGGCCCUUGUUAUCCACGGUUUCAAAAACUGCAAUUUUGCAUAUCUGCGGGUAGGUCUUAGAGACCCAGUUUCAUUAUCUACUGUAUUAAAAAUAGGCAAUUUUUACCUAUCCGCAGUACCUGGGCCACCAGAAAUGACUUACAGUAUCAUUUCUGGUGGCAUUUCCUGUCCGGAGGUAGCGCAGAGCCAUUUUGUGGCUCGUGUUCCCCUGCCCCACAAAACCCCAUGAAAAUCAGCAAGAAAUCAGCUGAUGUGGAAGGGGGGGGCAUUACUAGAGAGCUGGAACUAUAUGUUCUGUACAACUUUUAUUUCUGCUUCACUCUCGCAUUUAUUUGUGAUUCUGGGCAAUUUUAUUUGUGUGCAGGAACCCAACUCCCAUAUUCCCAGAGUUCAGGUUUCAUUAUUUGCGGUUUCCAUAUUCAUGAAUGUAGGCAAGAAUGGAACCCCUGCUAAUAAUGAGAGCCUCCUACAUAUUCAGAAGAUAAUUCUGGUUGAAUUAAUCUUGGUCAACUACCACUCCUUUGUUCUGUGCUCCCAAACAUUAAAGCAGAUUAGAAGUACUCCUUAGAUAAGAAUGUGCUGAAAGAAUAAAUCCGUCUGUAUAUUCUGCAAUCAUUCUGCUUGUAAAUAUGAAUGGGUAACUGAAAAUGUUUGAAAAGUCUAACUAUGUUAAGUGAACUUGACAAUCUCGAUACUGAAAAUUCAACCAAAAAAUAGUGGGUGCAGUCCAAAUCUGUUCAAAUCAGUUGAACUUUUUGGUGCUUAUUUUAUUAGGCAGAAGAUGGUAUUUUCAGGCACAGCUGCUCUGGUAUUUAAUAAAUUGUUCCGUCUGCUUUU